UGCGGCGGGACUGCGGGCUGCCGCUCUAUCCCCGCCUCCCCCGCCCUCCUCCGCUGGCGUGUUGUGGUGCUUGUCCGUGUUACUGAGCGUGCCGGGAAGAGGACCCCCGCCUUGGUCAAGAAGAUAACAAGAGGAUGUGUUCUGUCAUGCUGGCAAAAGCAUAAGAAGGACAGAUUACUGGCUGUUAAUUGAAUUCUGUACCUGUAAUGCAACAACACUGAAGAUCAGAAUCCCA